rnacentral:rRNA from 1 species
UACGUAGGGGGCAAGCGUUGUCCGGAUUUAUUGGGCGUAAAGAGCGUGUAGGCGGCCAGACAAGUCUGCUGUGAAAACUCGAGGCUCAACCUCGAGCUGUCGGUGGAAACUGUCUGGCUAGAGUCCGGAAGAGGAGAGUGGAAUUCCUGGUGUAGCGGUGAAAUGCGCAGAUAUCGAGGAAGGAACACCUAUGGCGAAGGC